ensembl:lncRNA
GGUUUUGGUUCGAUGUUGACCUUUGACCUGCAGUAGGACAUCUCUCAGUCUAAAUGAUCUGAGCAGGUGUAGGUGGCGCUGUCAGACAGGUGGAGGUUGGUCAGGUUCAGGCUGAGGUCUCCAGUUUCCAGAGCGUCUGUCUUCAUGGAUGUUCGGCCGCUGUAACGCUGCUUUGGAUCUUUCAGUUAGUCUCCUUGAAGCUGGUGGACGGUUGGAGGACUGAGGUGGGAGCGACUCCACACCACUGUGGGGCUGUCCAGUUCAAAAGUGGGAAACUCACAGGGCAGCAGGACAAACAGCUCUCCCUCAUACAGCUCCACAGCUGAGGCAUGCUGGGAAACUGAGGACACAGACAGAGUCCAUGUGUCACUUUGAGAUCAAACGUGGACACAGCUUCAGUUACACAAUAUCAAAUAUCUACAUAUAGAAAUAAAAUCACUGUGCAGGUCAAAUAAAUAAAUGUAACCCAGCUGGAGAAACGGGUAAAAAUAAGAUGAGCUUCAUAAGGUAUUUGUUUAGUUUCAGAAUCAUUCCUUUAUUUGUUUUAUUUUAUUGUCACAAGAAGUGAUAAUGUGGAAAAAAUGUUUAUUUCCACACUUCCUGCUGUGCCUAGCAGGGGCUUUUAUUUUGAAGGUUAAGAGGAAGUUGUGUGUUUUUACUUGGCAUAUUGAUACCAGCCAUUCGAGGAGAAGAAAAAUCCGAAGCUAUCUUGGUUUGCAGCAGAUACUGCCGCGGUUACAGAAGCAGGGCUUCAUAAAAGUUGUCAAAAAGUGUUCAGAAGUUAUCGGCUAACACUUCAAUAGUGAGUUGAAUGUUAGACAGCUGCCGAAAUCAGCAGAGGUGGCGGCUAAGUUAAUAGUGUUCCACGUGUCUCGGUCAGGUCUUUCAGUGAGCUUUGAGCUCCACGAGAAAAGACCAGUGAUUCCAAUUGAUGGCGAGCAUCCCAGUGUGAUUUCCAGGAUCCAGAUCUGCACAACCAAUCAGACGGCCAAUGGUUUAUCUGAUUUCUGAUAGGAUUCCAUCAGUCACACCGACUGGCAACAGUGAACAGAUAAAGAGUGCACUCUAGACUAUAAAAACACUAAGUGUGAAACUUCACUGGACCCCUUUUUUUGCUGACUGACAGAUCAUUGCAGAUCAUUCCCUCGUUCGAUCUGUGUUUUGACUUGACUGACCCUCUACUCUAUAAACUCUGAGGAACAAACUGAACUAUAAGGUUGCAACCUAACAAAUACUUUCAAAGGGACAAUUUCAAUGAUUAAGGACAAUGCAUUUUAUUUCUGUUUUUAUUUUAAGGGUCCUAGUUGUUGUUUUGCUGUGAAACUGUUAUUGUUGAAACUAAAGUCACA